UACGUAGGCAGCGAGCGUUGUUCGGAGUUACUGGGCGUAAAGGGCGCGUAGGCGGCGCGGAUAGUCGGCGGUGAAAGCCCGGAGCUCAACUCCGGGUCGGCCGUCGAUACUUCCGGGCUUGAGCACUGUAGAGGCAGAUGGAAUUCCGGGUGUAGCGGUGGAAUGCGUAGAGAUCCGGAAGAACACCGGUGGCGAAGGCGGUCUGCUGGGCAGUUGCUGACGCUGAUGCGCGACAGCGUGGGGAGCAAACAGG
rnacentral:rRNA from 1 species